rnacentral:rRNA from 1 species
GUAGGUGGCAAGCGUUGUCCGGAAUUAUUGGGCGUAAAGCGCGCGCAGGCGGUCCUUUAAGUCUGAUGUGAAAGCCCACGGCUCAACCGCGGAGGGUCAUUGGAAACUGGGGGACUUGAGUACAGAAGAGGAAAGCGGAAUUCCAAGUGUAGCGGUGAAAUGCGUAGAGAUUUGGAGGAACACCAGUGGCGAAGGCGGCUUUCUGGUCUGUAACUGACGCUGAGGCGCGAAAGCGUGGGGAGCAAACAGGGAUUAGAUACCCUGGUAGUCCACGCCGUAAACGAUGAGUGCUAAGUGUUAGGGGGUUUCCCGCCCCUUAGUGCUGCAGCUAACGCAUUAAGCACUCCGCCUGGGGAUACGGCCGCAAGGCUG